AUGGUGAGGGCGGCGUCGUCCUGGCGGCGGGCGGCGCUCGCCGGAGUUGAGGGUCGCGUCUACUCGGCCGCGCGGGCGGCGAGUUGGCGGUGGAUGCGGGCGCCGCGUGGAGGAAUCCCCUGCUGCUCUCCUUCGCCAGAUCUGAAGACGGCGCCCCCGUGCUGCUGCUUCCUCCUCGUCAGUCCGGCCGGAUCCGGUGGCGGACUGCGCGGAUGUGGGGUUGGGAGCUCUGGAUCGGAGCGGCUUCGAGAUCCAGCUCCCUCCCCCUCGUCCUCCCCCUGCACCCGGGUGAAAACCCACAACUUUGGUUGGGCGGCGGCGAUGCCCGGCUCCGUCACCUUCUUGAAGGUGCCGCUUUGGGUCCGUGGGGAGGUGGGACAGCUGCAGCGCGUUCUUGGCGUUCCUGAUGGCGGCGGUUCUCUCUUUAGUGGUGUCGCUUCGCCAUGGCGGUCGGCUGGUCCGGCUCUCGUGGUGAUUGUGGUGCUCAACUCUUCGGCGUGUCUUCCUGGGCCCAACACUUGCUGGUCUGGCUCCUCUGCCUCCUUCACCUCCAUCGGCUGUUGCUGCUCCUCCUCCUCUUCCCCCGACUCCGAUGACUCCGGAGGGCAGCCCUGCAGCGAUCCGGGUGGCGCGUCGGGCUGCGCGCUCGGCUUCCCAUGUCGGGCUCGGACUUGCGGCGCGGAGAGGGGAGGAGGGGAUGGAGUCGUGCAGGCAAAGCUCCGCCCGGCUCCUUUGCCCUCCUCCUCCGGCGGUGCUGCCGUCGCGAGCGGGCUCGGGAAAGGAUGCCAGGUCUCCGUUCUGUACAGUAGUUUUAGGAUUAAGUGUGGCGUGAUGCCGAGUAGAAGCAUUGCGUCGGCGCUUACGAGCGGCGCCGGACGCCGUUUAGCUUCGCUUUCCGGCUUCUCUCAGUGGUGGAGAGAAGCCGCGGGAGGCGGAUCUGACUCCAGCUUCUCCAAUAAGCUCGAUCUCAUCCCUGAUUUGGAGGAUGGCCAUCGCUUAGUCCUAUUUUCUCGUUGCUGUCGCGGUGAUGGGAACGGAAAUAGGAAGAGGAUGGACGAGGGAAUCAUCGCAUUGGAGCGUAUAUUUGACGGAGGCAGCAAACCAACAGAUCUAAAGUUAUCAGCUCUACAGAGCAUCACCGGAAAUUUCUCUCAAGAGCGAAUAGUUGGUACGGGUGGAUUUGGAACCGUUUACAAGGGUGUCCUUCGAAAUGGAGAAGUUGCUGUCAAGAGGAUAAAGAACAACCAUACAAUAGAUGAGAAGUUAUUUCGUCGGGAGGUUAACAGCUUAUUACAUGUCAGCCAUAAGAAUAUAGUUCGGUUUCUUGGCUUCUGUUCUCACACAGAACAUAAAGCAUUCGAAAAUGAAGGAUCAAGAGAUUACAUUUACGCCGAGGAUAGAGAAAGAAUAAUCUGUUUUGAGUACAUCAACAAUGGAAGUCUUGAAAAAUAUAUUACAGAUGAAUUAAGAGGGCUUCAAUGGGACACUCGAUAUUUCAUAAUAAAGGGAAUAUGCGACGGUCUGCACUAUCUUCAUAGGGAAAAACAAAUUAUUCAUAUGGAUCUGAAGCCAGCGAACAUAUUACUAGAUCAUAAUAUGGUAGCCAAAAUAACUGAUUUUGGCUUAUCGAGAAUGGAGGAAAAUGCACAAACCAAAAGUACAACCCGUGUUUUUACAUCAGGAUACGCCGCUCCAGAAUACAUAGACGAAGGCAAAAUGUCAGUCAAGUAUGAUGUGUAUAGCUUGGGAAUCAUAAUAAUCGAACUGGUGACAGGAGAUAGGAGGAUUCCAGAUAUUAGAAAUAACUGUGUUGACAUGGUUUGUCUACCCUUGCCUGUACAAAUCGCGGACAUUAACUAUCGUCACUAUAUCAUCUUUGUCAAAUGGCAGAUAAGCCCCUACUCGGAGGAUGACAUGCUUGGGGUUGAGCCGCUCGAGUUACGCUUUCCUUUCGAGCUCAACAGUCAGAUAUCAUGCUCACUUGAGCUAACAAAUGAGACAAAUGCUUUUAUUGCAUUCAACAUCCAGACGACGAGCCCCCUGCCAUACCGCAUACAACCAAAUAAAGACAUUGUGGCUCCACAAUCGAAGUAUAGUGUGAACAUAGCAUUGCAACCACUAGACAAGACACCACAAGAUAACUAUACUGGUUAUUUUAUCAUCUGGAGCACCAAAGUGAAUGGGGAUCUUAUAACUGAGGACAUAACUGAAGAUAUAUUCAAAAGAGAGGAGGGUAAAUUGGUGGAUGAGGUUAAUUUGACAAUUACAUAUAAGGCCGAGGAAUCCCAAGUGGAUGUGUCAGUUGGGUCACCUAUAAUUUCAGACAUGAGAGAUAUGCACGGUCCACAAGUAUCCAAUGUGCUAUCAACCGAGGCGGAUUCCAAGGAUUUGAGUAUCAAGCAUCCUAUCUAUCAACAAGGAAUGUGA
rnacentral:rRNA from 1 species